GAGUUGAAAGCCAAAAGUUUGGCGUUUGAUUGUUAAUCAAAAGUUUGUGGGUGUUUUUCCACUUGGCUCA
rnacentral:tRNA from 1 species